rnacentral:rRNA from 1 species
AUUGAACGCUGGCGGCAGGCCUAACACAUGCAAGUCGAACGAGUGGCGGACGGGUGAGUAAUGUCUGGGAAACUGCCUGAUGGAGGGGGAUAACUACUGGAAACGGUAGCUAAUACCGCAUACCAUCGGAUGUGCCCCGAUGGGAUUAGCUAGUAGGUGGGGUAAUGGCUCACCUAGGCGACGAUCCCUAGCUGGUCUGAGAGGAUGACCAGCCAAACUGGGACUGAUACACGGUCCAUACUCCUACGGGAGGCAGAAGUGGUGAAUAUGGCACAAUGGGCGCAAGCCUGAUUCAGCCAUGCCGCGUGUAUGAAGAAGGCCUUCGGGUUGUAAAGUACUUUCAGCGGGGAGGCGUUACCCGCAGAAGAAGCACCGGCUAACUCCGUGCCAGCCGCCGCGGUAAUAC